UCUAGAACUCGAGAUAUGAGUUGAACACUGAACAGUGUUUGGGUUGUAGGAUAGAUUCCAACUUCACUUUUGUUGCUACAAUUUGAACUUGAAAACGGCCGUUUUGAAUCUUGGACUUCUCAUGAAAGUUUUAGGUCUAUGUCUUAGCUUUCCAUC
rfam:Populus trichocarpa scaffold_7_contig_144, whole genome shotgun sequence.